GUUCAAAUGUGGAGCUGAGUUCACUAAAUAAUGUGGAACUGGUUAUUUUGAUGCUGAGAACAUUGUGUUAAAUGUCCCAGUUUAUCCCAAGACCCGUUAAUUCACUGCGUUCAGGCGAUGACUGUUAAGAGGUUUUGCAGGAACGCACCUAACUACCUAGCAACGAGUUUUAAUGGAGACAUUGUUUAAGUUUUUGUUAGACCCAUUUAACCACCUGGUUCAGACAAAGGCAAGUCGUGUAGUAUUAUGUCUUUCGUACCGUGCCGUUAGAGGUAAAAUUCUUGGAUCGGCACAAGACGAACGACUGCAAAGCAUUUGCCAAAAAUGUUUUCUUUAAUCAA
rnacentral:ncRNA from 1 species